rnacentral:piRNA from 1 species
CAAACAAACAAACAAACAGGACCU